rnacentral:sRNA from 1 species
UGACUGUAUGUCAAUCUUCUCCACUCGGUCC